AAAACGCAAAAGCGUGACAAAGGUCAUCCCAAGGGCCUCCGCUGAAGAAAGGUUUUGGCCCAUGGUAAUUAGUGGGGAAAAUAGGGAGAGGGCAAGCCUGGUGUCGCCCGCCGCGGUAAUCCCAGCUCUCCGAGUGGUGUGGAUCUUUAUUGGGCCUAAAGCAUUCGUAGCCGGCUAAAAAAAGUCUCACGUUAAAUCCAGCGUUUUCAAUCGUUGGGCUGCGAGAGAUACUUUUUAGCUAGGGGACGGGAGCGGUCGACGGUAUUUCCAGGGUAGGGGUGAAAUCCUAUAAUCCUGGGAGGACCACCAGUGGCGAAGGCUGUCGACUAGAACGUGCCCGACGGUGAGGGAUGAAAGCUGGGGGAGCGAACCGGAUUAGAUACCCGGGUAGUCCCAGCUGUAAACAAUGCAGGCUAGGUGUUAGAGCGGCUACGUGCCGCUCUAGUGCCGCAGGGAAGCCGUUAAGCCUGCCGCCUGGGGAGUACGGCCGCAAGGCUGAAACUUAAAGGAAUUGGCGGGG
rnacentral:rRNA from 1 species